rnacentral:rRNA from 1 species
GAUGCUGACGACCGGCGCACGGGUGAGUAACGCGUAUGGAACCUACCUGAAACAGGGGGAUAGCGUCCGGAAACGGGGAUUAAUACCCCAUACGAUUCAUUUGUGGCCUCACAAAUGGAUAAAAGCUACGGCGGUUUCAGAUGGUCAUGCGUACCAUUAGUUAGUUGGUGAGGUAAAGGCUCACCAAGGCGAUGACGGUUAGGGGUCCUGAGAGGGUAGUCCCCCACACUGGUACUGAGACACGGACCAGACUCCUACGGGAGGCAGCAGUGAGGAAUAUUGGUCAAUGGGCGCUAGCCUGAACCAGCCAUGCCGCGUGCAGGAAGACGGCCCUACGGGUUGUAAACUGCUUUUCUGCAGGAAGAAUAUAUAGUCUUAGGGCUAUAUUGACGGUACUGCAGGAAUAAGCAUCGGCUAACUCCGUGCCAGCAGCCGCGGUAAUACGGAGGAUGCAAGCGUUAUCCGGAUUCAUUGGGUUUAAAGGGUGCGCAGGCUGUAAAGCAAGUCAGUGGUGAAAGCCCUGGGCUUAACUCAGGGAUUGCCAUUGAAACUGUUUUACUAGAGUGUAGUAGAGGACGGCGGAAUGAGUUGUGUAGCGGUGAAAUGCAUAGAUAUAACUCAGAACACCUAUUGCGUAGGCAGCUGUCUAUACUACAACUGACGCUGAGGCACGAAAGCGUGGGGAGCGAACAGGAUUAGAUACCCUGGUAGUCCACGCUGUAAACGAUGAUCACUCGUUGUUGGCUACUUAGUAGUCAGUGACCAAGGGAAACCGAUAAGUGAUCCACCUGGGGAGUACGUCGGCAACGAUGAAACUCAAAGGAAUUGACGGGGGCCCGCACAAGCGGAGGAACCUUGUGGUUUAAUUCGAUGAUACGCGAGGAACCUUACAUCGGGCUUAAAUGACUGGGUGCAUUGGAGGGAAACCUUCAUAUCCUACGGGACCGCCAGCAAGGUGCUGCAUGAUUGUCGUCAGCUCGUGCCGUGAGGUGUCGGGUUAAGUCCCAUCACGAGCGCAACCCCUAUCGCUAGUUGCCAGCACGUAAUGGUGGGGACUCUAGUGAGACUGACCGGUGUAAACCGGAGGAAGGUGAGGAUGACGAUCAAAUCAGCACGGCCCGGACGUCCAGGGCAACACACGAGACACAAUGCCCGGUACGAAGCGCAGCCUAACUCGCAACACGACAGGCAUCUCUAAAACCGGUCUCAGUUCGGAUCGAAGUCUGCAAUUCGACUUCGUGAAGGUGGAUUCGCUAGUAAUCGCGCAUCAGCCAUGGCGCGGUGAAUAAGUUCCCGGGCCUUGUACACACCGCCCGUCAAGCCAUGGAAGU